UACGGAGGGUGCGAGCGUUAAUCGGAAUUACUGGGCGUAAAGGGUGCGUAGGUUGUUUAGUAAGAUAGGUGUGAAAUUCCUGGGCUCAACCUAGGGACGUCAACUGUGACUGCUAGACUGGAGUAUGGGAGAGGGUAGUGGAAUUUCCGGUGUAGCGGUGAAAUGCGUAGAGAUCGGAAGGAACAUCGGUGGCGAAGGCGGCUACCUGGCCUAAUACUGACACUGAGGCACGAAAGCGUGGGGAGCAAACAGG
rnacentral:rRNA from 1 species